GCAUAUCAAUAAGCGGAGGAAAAGAAACCAACAGGGAUUGCCCCAGUAACGGCGAGUGAAGCGGCAACAGCUCAAAUUUGAAAUCUGGCCCCUCGGGGUCCGAGUUGUAAUUUGUAGAGGAUGCUUUUGGUGAGGUGCCGCCCGAGUUCCCUGGAACGGGACGCCACAGAGGGUGAGAGCCCCGUCUGGCUGGCCGCCGAGCCUCUGUAAAGCUCCUUCGACGAGUCGAGUAGUUUGGGAAUGCUGCUCAAAAUGGGAGGUAUAUGUCUUCUAAAGCUAAAUAUUGGCCAGAGACCGAUAGCGCACAAGUAGAGUGAUCGAAAGAUGAAAAGCACCUUGAAAAGAGGGUUAAAUAGUACGUGAAAUUGUUGAAAGGGAAGCGCUUGUGACCAGACUUGGGCGCGGCGGAUCAUCCGGGGUUCUCUCCGGUGCACUUCGCCGCGUCUGGGCCAGCAUCAGUUCGUCGCGGGGGAAAAAGGCUUCGGGAACGUGGCUCCUCCGGGAGUGUUAUAGCCCGUUGCAUAAUACCCUGCGGUGGACUGAGGACCGCGCAUCUGCAAGGAUGCUGGCGUAAUGGUCACCAGCGACCCGUCUUGAAACACGGACCAAGGAGUCGUCUUCGUAUGCGAGUGUUCGGGUGUCAAACCCCUACGCGUAAUGAAAGUGAACGCAGGUGAGAGCUUCGGCGCAUCAUCGACCGAUCCUGAUGUUCUCGGAUGGAUUUGAGUAAGAGCAUACGGGGCCGGACCCGAAAGAAGGUGAACUAUGCCUGUAUAGGGUGAAGCCAGAGGAAACUCUGGUGGAGGCUCGCAGCGGUUCUGACGUGCAAAUCGAUCGUCAAAUAUGGGCAUGGGGGCGAAAGACUAAUCGAACCUUCUAGUAGCUGGUUUCCGCCGAG
rnacentral:rRNA from 1 species